GUCAAGUGAAGAAGCGCAUACGGUGGAUGCCUUGGCAGUCAGAGGCGAUGAAAGACGUGGUAGCCUGCGAAAAGCUUCGGGGAGUCGGCAAACAGACUUUGAUCCGGAGAUGUCUGAAUGGGGGAACCCAGCCAUCAUAAGAUGGUUACCUUACACUGAAUACAUAGGUGUAUGGAGCGAACCAGGGGAACUGAAACAUCUAAGUACCCUGAGGAAAAGAAAUCAACCGAGAUUCCCUUAGUAGUGGCGAGCGAACGGGGACUAGCCCUUAAGUGGCUUUGAGAUUAGCGGAACGCUCUGGAAAGUGCGGCCAUAGUGGGUGAUAGCCCUGUACGCGAAAAUCUCUUAGUCAUGAAAUCGAGUAGGACGGAGCACGAGAAACUUUGUCUGAAUAUGGGGGGACCAUCCUCCAAGGCUAAAUACUACUGACUGACCGAUAGUGAACCAGUACCGUGAGGGAAAGGCGAAAAGAACCCCGGAGAGGGGAGUGAAAUAGAUCCUGAAACCGUAUGCGUACAAGCAGUGGGAGCAGACUUUGUUCUGUGACUGCGUACCUUUUGUAUAAUGGGUCAGCGACUUAUUUUCAGUGGCGAGCUUAACCGAAUAGGGGAGGCGUAGCGAAAGCGAGUCUUAAUAGGGCGUCUAGUCGCUGGGAAUAGACCCGAAACCGGGCGAUCUAUCCAUGGGCAGGUUGAAGGUUGGGUAACACUAACUGGAGGACCGAACCGACUACCUUUGAAAAGUUAGCGGAUGACCUGUGGAUCGGAGUGAAAGGCUAAUCAAGCUCGGAGAUAGCUGGUUCUCCUCGAAAGCUAUUUAGGUAGCGCCUCAUGUAUCACUGUAGGGGGUAGAGCACUGUUUCGGCUAGGGGGUCAUCCCGACUUACCAAACCGAUGCAAACUCCGAAUACCUACAAGUGCCGAGCAUGGGAGACACACGGCGGGUGCUAACGUCCGUCGUG
rnacentral:rRNA from 1 species